GCUUCGGGUGUAACCUUUUUACCAGGAAGAACGAAAGUGCGGUCCUGCAGAAAAACGCCGGCUACUACGUCCAGCAGCGCGGUAUACGUAGGCGCAAGCGUAUCCGGAAUUAUGGGCGUAAAGAGCUCGUAGGCGGUUUGUCGCGUCUGCUGUGAAAUCCGGAGGCUCAACCUCCGGCCUGCAGUGGGUACGGGCAGACUAGAGUGCGGUAGGGGAGAUUGGAAUUCCUGGUGUAGCGGUGGAAUGCGCAGAUAUCAGGAGGAACACCGAUGGCGAAGGCAGAUCUCUGGGCCGUAACUGACGCUGAGGAGCGAAAGGGUGGGGAGCAAACAGGCUUAGAUACCCUGGUAGUCCACCCCGUAAACGUUGGGAACUAGUUGUGGGGUCCAUUCCACGGAUUCCGUGACGCAGCUAACGCAUUAAGUUCCCCGCCUGGGGAGUACGGCCGCAAGGCUAAAACUCAAAGGAAUUGACGGGGACCCGCACAAGCGGCGGAGCAUGCGGAUUAAUUCGAUGCAACGCGAAGAACCUUACCAAGGCUUGACAUAUACGAGAACGGGCCAGAAAUGGUCAACUCUUUGGACACUCGUAAACAGGUGGUGCAUGGUUGUCGUCAGCUCGUGUCGUGAGAUGUUGGGUUAAGUCCCGCAACGAGCGCAACCCUCGUUCUAUGUUGCCAGCACGUAAUGGUGGGAACUCAUGGGAUACUGCCGGGGUCAACUCGGAGGAAGGUGGGGAUGACGUCAAAUCAUCAUGCCCCUUAUGUCUUGGGCUUCACGCAUGCUACAAUGGCCGGUACAAAGGGCUGCAAUACCGCGAGGUGGAGCGAAUCCCAAAAAGCCGGUCCCAGUUCGGAUUGAGGUCUGCAACUCGACCUCAUGAAGUCGGAGUCGCUAGUAAUCGCAGAUCAGCAACGCUGCGGUGAAUACGUUCCCGGGUCUUGUACACACCGCCCGUCAAGUCAUGAAAGUCGGUAACACCUGAAGCCGGUGGCCUAACCCUUGUGGAGGGAGCCGUCGAAGGUGAUCCA
rnacentral:rRNA from 1 species